CCCACAAGCUCGGAUCAUGCCGUGUCAAAAGCUAACUAAACAAGCUAAAAGAAGGUACUGAAGAGAUAAGAGAAACUAAAGAAAAAAUUGCAGACACAUUGAGGUUAACAUCAACAUCCACAAGCACGAAUCAUCCGCCAGGAAAACAGCAAGCAACACCAGCCCUUCGUCAACUCUACUGCUGUACGUACUGAAGUUCAUUUGUUUCACUUCUUUUUUUUAUAGCCAUGAAACAGCCUUGGUACGUUACUCAUUUUAGAUUCUUAGAUAUCUCUGCACAUGCUUCCAUGUGGUAGCCAUUGCUGUUUCAUUUCAUAAAAGUUACCAUAUUCGAGCAUUCUUAUAUGCAUAUUUGUUUCCUAGAUCUGUCAACACGAGUGUCUCCCUAAGGUCCUAAAACAUUUAUGGUGAAUUAUGUAUUUCAACAAAAUCAUUCUGCGAAAAAAGCCCAUGUAGAAUGAUGGGUGGCGCUGCACCGAUAACAAUACUUACCGCUACAACACUUUGCCUCCUUGCCCAAUAACCCAAGAUCCUCACCAAGGUACACUUUGCCUUUUAAUCUAGAAAAGUGAUAGAAGUAGUUUAGGUUUUGUGACAGAUUUAGCAAGUGUGAAUUUCAUAUCACUGUGACAGAUUUAGUAAGUGUGAAUUUCAGACUGGUGUAUGUGUGAAUGAGAGAAUCUUUGACGUGGAUUCAGAUUAGUGUGGGAGUUCCUUGACUCUCCAUGUUGUGUAAAUAAUAGUUUUCUUAGCUAGAUGAUGAUGGU